CGGACGGGUGAGUAACGCGUGAGAAUCUGCCUUGAGGAUGGGGACAACAGUUGGAAACGACUGCUAAUACCCGAUGUGCCGGAAGGUGAAAAUUUUUUGCCUCAAGAGGAGCUCGCGUCUGAUUAGCUAGUUGGUGGGGUAAAAGCGUACCAAGGCAACGAUCAGUAGCUGGUCUGAGAGGAUGAGCAGCCACACUGGGACUGAGACACGGCCCAGACUCCUACGGGAGGCAGCAGUGGGGAAUUUUCCGCAAUGGGCGAAAGCCUGACGGAGCAAUACCGCGUGAGGGAGGAAGGCCUUUGGGUUGUAAACCUCUUUUCUCAGGGAAGAAGAUCUGACGGUACCUGAGGAAUAAGCAUCGGCUAACUCCGUGCCAGCAGCCGCGGUAAUACGGAGGAUGCAAGCGUUAUCCGGAAUUAUUGGGCGUAAAGCGUCCGCAGGUGGUCUUUCAAGUCUGCUGUCAAAGACCAGAGCUUAACUCUGGGCAGGCGGUGGAAACUGAGAGACUAGAGUUCGGUAGGGGUAGCGGGAAUUCCCAGUGUAGCGGUGAAAUGCGUAGAUAUUGGGAAGAACAUCGGUGGCGAAGGCGCGCUACUGGACCGAAACUGACACUCAGGGACGAAAGCUAGGGUAGCGAAAGGGAUUAGAUACCCCUGUAGUCCUAGCUGUAAACGAUGGAAAC
rnacentral:rRNA from 1 species